rnacentral:rRNA from 1 species
UACGUAGGGGGCUAGCGUUGUCCGGAAUCAUUGGGCGUAAAGCGCGUGUAGGCGGUCCGGUAAGUCCGCUGUGAAAGUCGGGGGCUCAACCCUCGGAUGCCGGUGGAUACUGUCGGGCUUGAGUACGGAAGAGGCGAGUGGAAUUCCUGGUGUAGCGGUGAAAUGCGCAGAUAUCAGGAGGAACACCAAUUGCGAAGGCAGCUCGCUGGACGUUACUGACGCUGAGACGCGAAAGCGUGGGGAGCAAACAGG